UGCUACAAUGGUUGGUACAACGAGUUGCGAGUCGGUGACGGCGAGCUAAAUCUCUUAAAGCCAAUCUCAGUUCGGAUUGUAGGCUGCAACUCGCCUACAUGAAGUCGGAAUCGCUAGUAAUCGCGGAUCAGCACGCCGCGGUGAAUACCGUUCCCGGGCCUU
rnacentral:rRNA from 1 species